rnacentral:misc_RNA from 1 species
GAAAUGCGAUACUUGGUGUGAAUUGCAGAAUUCAGUGAAUCAUCGAAUCUUUGAACGCACAUUGCGCCCCUUGGUAUCCCGAGGGGCAUGCCUGUUCGAGCGUCAUUUCACCACUCAAGCCUGGCUUGGUGUUGGGCGACGUCCCCUUUGGGGACGCGCCUCGAAACGCUCGGCGGCGUGGCACCGGCUUUAAGCGUAGCAGAAUCUUUCGCUUCAAAAGUCGGGGCCCCGUCUGCCGGAAGACCUACUCGCAAGGUUGACCUCAGGUCAGGCGGGGCUACCCGCUGAGUUUAA